AUGAGCAUUGGAGUACUUUUGUUAGUGUCAACUCUAGAUUGGAACUUGUGGAUGAAGCAUAUCAUAAGCCAUGUUAUCUCAUGUCUCAACCAGUUCCAUAAAAGCUUCACAUUUUACUCACACAUGCCAAGUGUUAGUUUCCUCGUAGCAACAACACAUACAUGGCAACAAAAUAAGGGGAACUCAAGUUGCUGUCUACCUUCAAAGUUUAUCAGCAAAUUGUCUGAUCAGAACCUGUUCAUUAGAGUCCAAAAGUAUGAUAAUAACACUCAAUGA